rnacentral:snRNA from 1 species
GUGCUUGCUUUGGCAGCACAUGUACUAAAAUUGGAACGAUACCGAGAAGACUAGCAUGGCCCCUGCGCAAGGAUGACACGCAAAUUCGUGAAGAUAACCUCGUCCCG